AUUGAACGCUGGCGGCAGGCUUAACACCUGCAAGUCGAACGAGUGGCGGACGGGUGAGUAAUGCUUGGGAAUAUUGCUUAUGGAGUGGGAUAACUACGGGAAACUGUAGAUAAUACCGCGUACUAUAGGAUGAGCCCAAGUGGGAUUAGGUAGUUGGUGAGUUAAAGGCUCACCCAGCCGACGAUCUCUAGCUGGUCUGAGAGGAGGACCAGCCACACUGGGACUGAGACACGGCCCAGACUCCUACGGGAGGCAGCAGUGGGGAAUAGUGCGCAAUGGGGGCAACCUGACGCAGCAAUGCCGCGUGAAUGAAGAAGGCCUUCGGGUUGUAAAGUUCUUUCGGUAGCGAGGCGUUAACUACAGAAGAAGCACCGGCUAACUCCGUGCCAGCAGCCGCGGUAAUUC
rnacentral:rRNA from 1 species